UACCACAGGAGAUAAAUUAAUUCACCUUACUGUCUCUAACGCAGCAGUAAUAAUACUUUAUUAACCAUGGAUAAAGUUGAGCUGGCUUAUUCUUUUUUUUUUUUUUAAUACACUUUCCAAUGAUUUCUGGUUUCAUUACUAGAAUAUCUUUAUGAUUAAGAAAAAUUCUUGAAGAAUAAAAACAACUGUCUUUAAUUAACUGCAUGCAAAUGCAAAGUGGUGGGUUUUUUUGUUUUUUUAAAAAGGCAACCUGUUGGAUUACUUUAAGCUUGUUGUUGUUUUAUAAUCUCUUUUAAAUGUUCUAACAGUGUGUCUGAAACAUGAGAAAUUGUCCUGCAGCUACACACAGUUCUCUUAAUAAUGUUUAACAUUAGGGGGCUAAAGGGUGCAACCACUAAGAACUGAACUCAGCAGCGUGUGUUGGAUUGCUGCCAAAAUUCAUAUUUGCAGCAGUGUAUCAACAUUAUUAAAAGCAACAUCACACACAGGCUACUUUUACAUGCAUCCAUUAAAAGGCAUGGUAGGCUAGGAAAAACUGAUGCUGAGUGAACACUGUGGGGGAUCUGUUAAUAUAAUGCUCCCAAAGCUGACUGAGCAUCUGACCCAGAGGGGUUCCAGGUCAGUAAGUCAGGAACAUGACUUGCUUCUUGACUUCCUCUGCACAUUGUGUUUGACUUCCACCGAAAUUCCUCAUACAAAUCUAAAUCUCCCUGUAUAUAUUACACUCUUUCCUCCACUGAACUGUUCUUUGCAUCUGUUGCUGUGCACUGUAGAUUAUCUACUGCAUUCUACAACAGUUAGCAGAAUUCAUAGGGCGAACAACAGAAGGCUACGAGGGGGCUCCUACUAUAUAUAUUUUAUUUUCUUAGGACACGGCGCGUUGUGGAUUACAUCAUGUCAGGACUGGGUUUUUAGGAGUCAGGAAGAAGGUAGUACAUCAACGCCCUAGUUUUGGAUGGGCCCUUAAUGCUUGAUUUUUGCUGUACUGAGUGUCAUUACUUUUAUUUUAUUUAUUUAUUUGAUUGAUUUCUAUACUGGCCUUCUAAAAUGGCUCAGGGUGGUUUACAUCAAAACAAAACUAAAAUCAAUUAACUAUUAAAAUCAAAAACUGUAAAAACAUAAAACCAUUAUUAAAACAAUUAAAACAGUUUUUAAAACCCUGGAAAACCAGGCUGAACCUUUAUGGUUUAAAAAACAAUUUAAAACCCUGCAAGGCCAGGACAAGCAGAUAGAUCUUAAGGGCUCUCCUGAAGGCCAAUAAUGAACUCAUAUUACGGAUUUCUGCAGGGAGUGCAUUCCACAGCCCAGGAGCAGCUACAGAGAAGGCCCACCUCUGAGUCACCACCAGACGUGUUGGUGGUAACUGAAGAUGGACCUCCUCAGAUGACCUUAAAGUGCGGUGGGGAUCGUGCAGAAGAAGAGGCCCUUUUAAAAACUGGCUGCUGGCACAGGAUGAUGAAUUCGCUCUGUCCUGGAUAUCUGAUCCAACAAGGUUGGGUUUAUUUAACCUACUCACCUUCAUUUGUUAGGAAUCCAGUCAGAUGGCCCCUGGCACAGCUGCGGACAAGGUUCACAACCCUUCAUUUUGGAUGAAGUUCCAUUUUGACAACAUCCUUGAGUGUGCAGAGGACUGCAGAGCUGAUCUAGCCGAGACACAUU